rnacentral:rRNA from 1 species
AUUGAACGCUGGCGGCAGGCCUAACACAUGCAAGUCGAGCGAGCGGCGGACGGGUGAGUAAUGUGUGUGGACUGCCCGCUAGAGGGGGGUAACUCCUGGAGACGGUGGCUAUUACCGCGUCCUGCCGGAUAACCCACAGGGGAUUAGCUAGUAGGGAAGGUAAUGGCUUACCUAGGCGACGCUCCCUAGCUGGUCUGAGAGGAUGAUCAGCCACACUGGGACUGAGACACGGCCCAGACGCCUACGGAGGCAGCAGUGGGGAAUAUUGCACAAUGGGCGCAAGCCUGAUGCAGCCAUGCCGCGGGUAUGAAGAAGGCCUUAGGGUUGUAAAGUACUUUCAGAUGGGAGGCGUUACUCGCAGAAGAAGCACCGGCUAACUCCGUGCCAGCAGCCGCGGUAAUAC